rnacentral:rRNA from 2 species
GGGUGGUAAUGCCGGAUGUUCCAGUUGAUCGCAUGGUCUUCUGGGAAAGCUUUCGCGGUAUGGGAUGGGGUCGCGUCCUAUCAGCUUGACGGCGGGGUAACGGCCCACCGUGGCUUCGACGGGUAGCCGGCCUGAGAGGGCGACCGGCCACAUUGGGACUGAGAUACGGCCCAGACUCCUACGGGAGGCAGCAGUGGGGAAUAUUGCACAAUGGGCGCAAGCCUGAUGCAGCGACGCCGCGUGAGGGAUGGAGGCCUUCGGGUUGUAAACCUCUUUUAUCGGGGAGCAAGCGUGAGUGAGUUUACCCGUUGAAUAAGCACCGGCUAACUACGUGCCAGCAGCCGCGGUAAUACGUAGGGUGCAAGCGUUAUCCGGAAUUAUUGGGCGUAAAGGGCUCGUAGGCGGUUCGUCGCGUCCGGUGUGAAAGUCCAUCGCUUAACGGUGGAUCCGCGCCGGGUACGGGCGGGCUUGAGUGCGGUAGGGGAGACUGGAAUUCCCGGUGUAACGGUGGAAUGUGUAGAUAUC